rnacentral:rRNA from 1 species
GCCCAGACUCCUACGGGAGGCAGCAGUGAGGAAUAUUGGUCAAUGGGCGGAAGCCUGAACCAGCCAAGUCGCGUGAGGGAAGAAGGCCCUGCGGGUCGCAGACCUCUUUGGACGGGGAGCAAGGCCGCCGACGUGUCGGCGGAAGGAGAGUACCCGUAGAACAAGCAUCGGCUAACUCCGUGCCAGCAGCCGCGGUAAUACGGAGGAUGCGAGCGUUAUCCGGAUUUAUUGGGUUUAAAGGGUGCGCAGGCGGUCUGUUAAGUCAGCGGGAAAUGCCCGGGGCGCAACCCCGGUCCGCCGUUGAAACUGGCAGUCUCGAGUUGGAGAGAAGUAUGCGGAAUGCGCGGUGUAGCGGUGAAAUGCAUAGAUAUCACGCAGAACUCCGAUUGCGAAGGCAGCGUACCGGCGCCCAACUGACGCUGAAGCACGAAGGCGUGGGUAUCGAACAGGAUUAGAUACCCUUGUA